GCGGGACACGUGGUAUCCUGUCUGAAUAUGGGGGGACCAUCCUCCAAGGCUAAAUACUCCUGACUGACCGAUAGUGAACCAGUACCGUGAGGGAAAGGCGAAAAGAACCCCGGCGAGGGGAGUGAAAAAGAACCUGAAACCGUGUACGUACAAGCAGUGGGAGCCUCUUAAUGGGGUGACUGCGUACCUUUUGUAUAAUGGGUCAGCGACUUAUAUUCUGUAGCAAGGUUAACCGAAUAGGGGAGCCGAAGGGAAACCGAGUCUUAACUGGGCGUUAAGUUGCAGGGUAUAGACCCGAAACCCGGUGAUCUAGCCAUGGGCAGGUUGAAGGUUGGGUAACACUAACUGGAGGACCGAACCGACUAAUGUUGAAAAAUUAGCGGAUGACUUGUGGCUGGGGGUGAAAGGCCAAUCAAACCGGGAGAUAGCUGGUUCUCCCCGAAAGCUAUUUAGGUAGCGCCUCGUGAAUUCAUCUCC
rnacentral:rRNA from 1 species